GUUGUGUGAGGCAUAUUCUUCGUUAUUGUUGUAGAUAAUUUCGAGGAGCAGGAGCAGGGAGGGACAGUGCCUGUGAUUCCAUCCACUUCACAGCUAUGGUGUGAUUUUGAAGAACUUGGUCAAUUGCUCCAUGGUGGUUCAGAUGAUGAGAUGCCUGAGUGGGUGGAGAAGAUGGAGAGGGAGCUGCAUUGCCAUGAUAACAUGCUGGAUGACUGGAGGAAUAUUGAAAGGAACCAAAGUGAGAUAGCACCACUGUCAAUGCAGUACACAGUGGAGCGGGAAAUCAUGGGUGGUGAUGAAAUCACCAGUAAGUCACAGUCCUGUGAGGCAUGUGUCACGAGCAAGGGCAUCUCUAGUCGCCUCCUGGAAGCUACCACCACAGAAGCAGCCGCAGCCGCUUCCCCCAUCACCACGCCCACUCCUCAACAGCUCCACUCUGGCAUACAUGGUCAACCCUCCCUCCACCAACUGGCUCAGCAUUGUGCCAACAACCAACUCUGCAGGCUGUGGCUUUUGGAAAGAAUAACAAGAAAUACAUCUAACAUUCCAGAUAUCACUUAUUCUUGCAAGGAAAGAAAGAACACUAGUUAUUCGUAAGCAGAGUUAGUACAUUUAUAAAUUACCUAUCUCGCUCUGGCUCCUUGCAAUAUACCUCAGGUCUACUGCCAUCUCCUCAUGACGAUUCAACUCCCUCUCCAUCUCCUCCAUCCACUUAGGCACCUCCUCAUCUGAAACACCUAGGAUCAAUCGACUGAGAUCUCCAAAAUCACCUACAACAGCAACAUAUUGAUUUAAUGAAAAGUAUACAUCCACAAAACUAAGAAAAAAUUGACGAACGAAUAUGUACUAACACAAUAGCUGUUAUGUGGAUGGCAUCACACCCUCUGUCUCUCCCUCCUCCUGCUCCUCGAAAUCAUCUACAACAAGAGCAAAGGAUAUGCCGCAGACAACAUUAUGUCAUGUAUAUGAUGAAAUUUUUUGAGAAGAAUAUGUGUAAUGGCAACAUAUUAUCUAUGUGCAUAGUGCUAUGAUGAAGAAAAAAAUAUA